rfam:Schistosoma curassoni strain Dakar, Senegal genome assembly, scaffold: SCTD_scaffold0002247
AUCCUGCUGACGAGUCUCAAAUAGGACGAAACGCGCAUCCUCAAU